rnacentral:rRNA from 1 species
CCUACGGGUGGCAGCAGUGGGGAAUAUUGCACAAUGGGGGAAACCCUGAUGCAGCGACGCCGCGUGAGUGAAGAAGUAUCUCUGUAUGUUAAGCUCUAUUUGCAGGGAAGAAAAUGACGGUACCUGUCUAAGAAUCCCCGUCUAACUACGUGCCAGCAGCCGCGGUACUACGGAGGAGGCAAGCGUUAUCCGGAUUUACUGGGUGUAAAGGGAGCGUAGACGGCGCUGCAAGUCCGGAGUGAAAGCCCAUGGCUUAACCAUGGUACUGCUCUGGAAACUGUGGAGCUUGAGUGCGGGAGGGGCAGGCGGAAUGCCUAGUGUAGCGGUGAAAUGCGUAGAUAUUAGGAGGAACACCGACUGCGAAGGCGGCCUGCUGGGCCGUAACUGACGUUGAGGCUCGAAAGCGUGGGGAGCAAACAGGAUUAGAUACCCUGGUAGUC